UUGACAGUCUUGGAUAAUUCAUUAAGUUGUGCAUUGGUCCAACAUGACAUCACUAGCAGAAAUCUAUUAUCUCAGCAAGAAGUUCACGUCUAUCACACCUCUUUUUAACUACCCUUGUAAGGGUACAAGGGAUUUUUUUCCAAUUUAAGUGACAAUCAAAAAAAGAUUACUUAUUAGAUUUAGAGUCACCACUUGGGAUAAUUUAUGGUGCUCCAAAUCACCGGUUUAGAAUCCCGAAUUGAGGAAAUUUUUCACUAUGUUUAUGUCUGCAAAUACAAAAAUCUGGGUAAGGAAUUCUGUUAACCCGGGUGAAGGUGUUAGGCACUCCUGAGUUUCAUGGUUCUAGCACAGUCGCUUUGAUCAUACCUGGCUUACUAAGUUAUCCAAUUACUCAUUUAGAACAUAUGUGCUUUUU
rnacentral:lncRNA from 1 species